rnacentral:misc_RNA from 1 species
GAUGAAGAACGCAGCGAAAUGCGAUAAGUAAUGUGAAUUGCAGAAUUCAGUGAAUCAUCGAAUCUUUGAACGCACAUUGCGCCCGCCAGUUUUCUGGCGGGCAUGCCUGUCCGAGCGUCAUUUCAACCCUCGAACCCCUCCGGGGGGUCGGCGUUGGGGAUCGGCCCUUUACCGGCCGGCCCCGAAAUACAGUGGCGGUCUCGCCGCAGCCUCUCCUGCGCAGUAGUUUGCACACUCGCACCGGGAGCGCGGCGCAGUCCAAUGCCGUAAAACACCCAACUUUCUGAAAUGUUGACCUCGGAUCAGGUAGGAAUACCCGCUGAACUUAAGCAUAUCAAUAAGCGGAGGA